rnacentral:rRNA from 1 species
CCACUUCGGUGGGGAUUAGUGGCGAACGGGUGAGUAACACGUGGGCAAUCUGCCCUUCACUCUGGGACAAGCCCUGGAAACGGGGUCUAAUACCGGAUACUGACCGGCCUGGGCAUCCAGGCGGGUCGAAAGCUCCGGCGGUGAAGGAUGAGCCCGCGGCCUAUCAGCUUGUUGGUGAGGUAAUGGCUCACCAAGGCGACGACGGGUAGCCGGCCUGAGAGGGCGACCGGCCACACUGGGACUGAGACACGGCCCAGACUCCUACGGGAGGCAGCAGUGGGGAAUAUUGCACAAUGGGCGAAAGCCUGAUGCAGCGACGCCGCGUGAGGGAUGACGGCCUUCGGGUUGUAAACCUCUUUCAGCAGGGAAGAAGCGAAAGUGACGGUACCUGCAGAAGAAGCGCCGGCUAACUACGUGCCAGCAGCCGCGGUAAUACGUAGGGCGCAAGCGUUGUCCGGAAUUAUUGGGCGUAAAGAGCUCGUAGGCGGCUUGUCACGUCGGAUGUGAAAGCCCGGGGCUUA